AACGAACGCUGGCGGCAUGCCUAACACAUGCAAGUCGAACGAAACCUUCGGGUCUAGUGGCGCCCGGGUGCGUAACGCGUGGGAACCUGCCCUUAGGUUCGGAAUAACUCCCCGACAGGGGUGCUAAUACCGGAUAAUGUCUUCGGACCAAUGAUUUAUUGCCUUUGGAUGGGCCCGCGUUGGAUUAGCUAGUUGGUAGGGUAAAAGCCUACCAAGGCGACGAUCCAUAGAUGGUUUGAGAGGAUGAUCAGCGACACUGGGACUGAGACACGGCCCAGACUCCUACGGGAGGCAGCAGUGGGGAAUAGUGGACAAUGGGCGAAAGCCUGAUCCAGCAAGGCCGGGUGAGUGAUGAAGGCCUUAGGGUUGUAAAGCUCUUUUACCCGGGAUGAUAAUGACAGUACCGGGAGAAUAAGCUCCGGCUAACUCCGUG
rnacentral:rRNA from 1 species